rnacentral:rRNA from 1 species
GAUGAACGCUAGCGGCAGGCUUAAUACAUGCAAGUCGAGGGGCAGCAGCUCUGUAGCAAUACAGAGGCUGGCGACCGGCAAACGGGUGCGGAACACGUACACAACCUUCCUUUAAGCGGGGAAUAGCCCGGGGAAACCCGGAUUAAUACCCCAUAGUGUAUUGAAGAGGCAUCUCUUUACUAUUAAAGAUUUAUCACUUGAAGAUGGGUGUGCGGCUGAUAAGCUGGUUGGGGGGGUAACGGCCCACCAAGGCAACGAUCAGUAACUGGUGUGAGAGCACGACCAGUCACACGGGCACUGAGACACGGGCCCGACUCCUACGGGAGGCAGCAGUAAGGAAUAUUGGUCAAUGGACGAAAGUCUGAACCAGCCAUGCCGCGUGGAGGAUGAAGGUCCUCUGGAUUGUAAACUUCUUUUAUAUGGGACGAAAAAAGGCUUUUCUAAGUCGUCUGACGGUACCAUAUGAAUAAGCACCGGCUAACUCCGUGCCAGCCGCCGCAGUAAGAC